GAUGAACGCUGGCGGCGUGCCUAAUACAUGCAAGUCGAGCGAACAGACGAGGAGCUUGCUCCUCUGACGUUAGCGGCGGACGGGUGAGUAACACGUGGAUAACCUACCUAUAAGACUGGGAUAACUUCGGGAAACCGGAGCUAAUACCGGAUAAUAUAUUGAACCGCAUGGUUCAAUAGUGAAAGACGGUUUUGCUGUCACUUAUAGAUGGAUCCGCGCCGCAUUAGCUAGUUGGUAAGGUAACGGCUUACCAAGGCAACGAUGCGUAGCCGACCUGAGAGGGGGAUCGGCCACACUGGAACUGAGACACGGUCCAGACUCCUAAGGGAGGCAGGAGUAGGGAAUCUUCCGCCAUGGGCGAAAGCCUUACGGAGCAACGCCGCGUGAGUGAUGAAGGGUCUCGGAUCGUUAAACUUUGUUAUUAGGGAAGAAAAAAUGGUUAAGUAACUAUGCACGUCUUGACGGUACCUAAUCAGAAAGCCACGGCUAACUACGUG
rnacentral:rRNA from 1 species